rnacentral:rRNA from 1 species
AGUGAACGCUGGCGGUAGGCCUAACACAUGCAAGUCGAACGGCAGCACAGUAAGAGCUUGCUCUUACGGGUGGCGAGUGGCGGACGGGUGAGGAAUACAUCGGAAUCUACUUUUUCGUGGGGGAUAACGUAGGGAAACUUACGCUAAUACCGCAUACGACCUACGGGUGAAAGCAGGGGAUCUUCGGACCUUGCGCGAUGGAAUGAGCCGAUGUCGGAUUAGCUAGUUGGCGGGGGAGAGGCACACCAAGGCGACGAUCCGAAGCUCGUCUGAGAGGAACAUCAGCCACAUUGGAACUGAGAAAGAUCACCGACACCGAGAGGGGGAAGCGGUGGGGACUAUUGGGCAAUGGAGGCGAGCCGGAUCCAGCCAUACCGCGGAAGUGAUGAAGGACUUCGGGCUGGAGAGCCAUGUAGGUCUGAAAGAAGUACAGCACUUUAAUCCCCCACUGUUCUGACAGUACCCAAAGAAUAAGCACCGGCUAACUUCGUG